rnacentral:rRNA from 1 species
CCUACGGGGGGCUGCAGUGGGGAAUCUUGCACAAUGGGGGAAACCCUGAUGCAGCGACGCCGCGUGAGCGAUGAAGCCCUUCGGGGUGUAAAGCUCUUUCGGCAGGAACGAUUAUGACGGUACCUGCAGAAGAAGCUGCGGCUAACUACGUGCCAGCAGCCGCGGUAAUACGUAGGCAGCGAGCGUUGUUCGGAGUUACUGGGCGUAAAGAGUAUGUAGGCGGUUUCGUAAGUUUGGUGUGAAAUCUCCCGGCUUAACUGGGGGGGUGCGCCGAAAACUGCGAGGCUAGAGUGCGGGAGAGGAGAGCGGAAUUCCUGGUGUAGCGGUGAAAUGCGUAGAUAUCAGGAGGAACACCGGCGGUGUAGACGGCUCUCUGGACCGUUACUGACGCUGAGAUACGAAAGCGUGGGUAGCAAACAGGAUUAGAUACCCUAGUAGUC